AACCAAUUCAAGCGGGGCAGCGGCAGCGCCGGAGGCAGCAGCCACCCGUGACGAGCGAAGGCGAAGAUCUUAUCAGCAGAAGGAAGUACUGAGCUACUGGGCUGCUCUUCUCUGAAGCCACCGGAUUUACCAGUCCAGGUGACCUGUGACUGGUGAGGGGCAAGACUACUGUGUUCUUCCUGAAACUCAUCCAAACCAUUGGAUAGAGUAUCAGCUCCUGCUGGAAGAUCUUGUCUUCAUCUUGAGAAAAAGGGUUGAAGACAAUGUGUGAAAGUAACAUCUACCUGGUGAAUCAUCCCACCACAGGCAAAUUACCAGUUUCAGACCAUUCAACCACUCAAGCACAAGAACUGUAAAAACAACCUUCCUAUGCUUGCUGUUAAGGUAAAAUGAAGUGCAUUAUAAAUGCAAAAUGUCAUGCCGAGUGCCAAGAAUAAACCCUCAGCUUCAGCCAUGCUUGAAAACAUCAAGUGUUUACAACACGAAGCCUCUAAAUUGAUUUGAGUUGACCAGUGUGGUAUCAGCAGUAGCUAAGCUGUUCUCCUUAAAUUUCACAUGCUGGUUUCCUGGAAAGUAUGCGGCUUGAGAGAAAUCGCAUCUCUCUUCAGUGUGGUACAAGGGUUUUUUCAGAUUUCUAAAACCUAAUCAACAAAUCUUGUUACUUUCAGUCAUUUUCAAUUUUUUAUUUUAUAAUGGAAUUCCAGAUGAUGCAGUAAAUUUGAAACCUGCUCACAGUAGACUGAUUUAUUCUAGGUAGCAUUUGAAGAUAUCAGAAGUAGUGGUGGGCUCAGAAGUAUCAGCAGCCUGCUGCUGUCUUGGGUCUGUCUGUCUCCAGCCCUAAAGAAAAUACCUAAAAUAUUUCCUUAGUGCAAAUAUCAGCCCUUGUAUAGCCAGAAUGAGAGACACGUACACUCUUUCCUACCAAGUUCUGAGUUUUUUCAGGGAGGGGUACUUAAGAGCUAAGUUCUUUUUUCCCUGCUCCUCAUGAUUUGCCUCUGCUUGUUGAAGUAGCUUGUUUCUGCUUCCUCUGGCUGCCAAAGUUUCUGGUUGGUUCAACCACAACUAUUCUGAGUGGUUACUGAAAUAAGAAUGUUAGUAAACAUUUGACUUUUAAAGUCUUUUUUAAAGCUCUAAUUUCUGGAGCAGCUUCCAAAAUUCACAAAACCCCUUGCUAAAUUUAGGGGCUCAACCUUUUUUCCUCCAAAUGUAAAUAUAAACAUAUAUAUGUAUAGUGAAAAAGAAUGUGUGUGUGUACAAAUAUACAUGUGUAUUACCUGCUGGAUGAAAAAUGCAGUGUAAGCCUGGCUUUCGUUAUGACUAGAGUUUUUGCCAUUUACUUAAUUCAAGACAGGAUUUCACUCACAGCUUUUGAAAAUUAGGAUUAUUUAUAAUGCCAGAACCUGGGCACGUCAAUUCUUAGACAAUUCUAUCAGAAAAAAUGUGGCCAAAGAGCUGUAUACCUUCAUUUUUUAAACCAAUUUUGAAUGAGUGUAACAGAUUUGAGCUGGAGAUGCUAGAACUGGUUCCUAAAUUGGUUGGCUAGUCCUUAUUCACAAAGUAAUUUUUCCCGCCUCAGUCUUUCUAUCUCUAAAUAAAGCAGAGAAGUGUUAAAAUAGUCACCUGAAGAAUACUAAAAUACUUGAUGUUUUUGACAAAAUAACUAGAUAAAUAUUAAAUAUCUUCUGCAAAACAUUAAAAAGGCUCAACACCUUGAUCACUUUUUUAAAUGAAAUUAUCUAAAUACAGCACAUGCUAUGAUUAGGUGUUUCUUUUCUUAUGUAAAUUUUGGAUGGAAAAGAGAACAGAGAAAGGGACUUAAAAUAUCAGCUCAUAGCUCCCUCUUGUGCAACACUUCAUUACUACAGAAAACUAAAUUGGAUAGUGAUUGCUUAAGCUAAAUUAUAGGAAAACCAUUUCAUACCUUCAGUAUUUCUUCUGCCACUGGAACCUUGAGGAAUAUUCAUUUUGGUGUCAUAUGAUUGUAGAUGUGGCUGUAGUUACAAUAUGUCUUAUUGUAAUACUUACUGUUGUAACUGCUGCAAAAAUAAACUAAUUUAUGUUAUAUA